rnacentral:rRNA from 1 species
GAUGAACGCUAGCGGCAGGCUUAAUACAUGCAAGUCGAGGGGUAGCAAGAUUGUAGCAAUACAAUUGUUGACGACCGGCAAACGGGUGCGGAACACGUACACAACCUUCCUACAAGUGGGGAAUAGCCCAGAGAAAUUUGGAUUAAUACCCCGUAACAUAGCGAUGUGGCAUCACAUUGCUAUUAUAGCUUCGGCGCUUGUUGAUGGGUGUGCGGCUGAUUAGAUAGUUGGCGGGGUAACGGCCCACCAAGUCUACGAUCAGUAGCUGAUGUGAGAGCAUGAUCAGCCACACGGGCACUGAGACACGGGCCCGACUCCUACGGGAGGCAGCAGUAAGGAAUAUUGGACAAUGGACGCAAGUCUGAUCCAGCCAUGCCGCGUGAAGGAUUAAGGUCCUCUGGAUUGUAAACUUCUUUUAUAAGGGACGAAAAAAGGUCUUUCUAGAUCGUCUGACGGUACCUUAUGAAUAAGCACCGGCUAACUCCGUGCCAGCCGCCGCCGUAAAAC